rnacentral:rRNA from 1 species
AACGAACGCUGGCGGCAGGCUUAACACAUGCAAGUCGAACGCCCCGCAAGGGGAGUGGCAGAAGGGUGAGUAACGCGUGGGAACAUACCCUUUUCUACGGAAUAGCUCUGGGAAACUGGAAUUAAUACCGUAUACGCCCUACGGGGGAAAGAUUUAUCGGGGAAGGAUUGGCCCGCGUUGGAUUAGCUAGUUGGUGGGGUAAAGGCCUACCAAGGCGACGAUCCAUAGCUGGUCUGAGAGGAUGAUCAGCCACAUUGGGACUGAGACACGGCCCAAACUCCUACGGGAGGCAGCAGUGGGGAAUAUUGGACAAUGGGCGCAAGCCUGAUCCAGCCAUGCCGCGUGAGUGAUGAAGGCCUUAGGGUUGUAAAGCUCUUUCACCGAUGAAGAUAAUGACGGUAGUCGGAGAAGAAGCCCCGGCUAACUUCGUG